AUGGUGGUUUCCUCUAAGUGGGAUCAGAUCAAAGAUGUGCACUCAAAGAAAGGAAAGGAUGCUACAGCCAUAAUUCUCAACAAGCCGUUCUGGAAGGGUCUGAAUCUUUGCAUCAAGGUGUUCGAGCCGUUGGUGAAGGUCCUCCGGUUGGUUGAUGGUGAUGCACGGUCCUCAAUGGGCUUUGUGUAUGGAGAGAUUGUGAAGGAAAAGAAAGAAAUCAAAGAGGCCUUUGGUAACGUCGAGGCGCGGUACAAAGAUGUGUUAGCUAUAGUUGAAAAGAAAAUUAAAGAUAGGCUUGAUGCCCCACUGCAGUUGACUGCAUAUUUGUUGAAUCCACACUAUAGCUAUGCAGAUGACAGCAUAUUUGAUUCUGUUGACAUCAAUACAGCCUUUUAUUCUUGUGUGGAGACAUUCUAUCAUGGUGAUGAAAACAUGCAAGACCAAGUUGUGAACUAUGAAAUAAGCAAGUUCCAAAGCAGAGAGGGUUCCUCUGCAAAGAAGCUUGCUAGGACUUGCCAAAACUUUGACUACAAUCCUGUGGCUUGGUGGAGAAUGUAUGGAGGUGAGACACCGGGGCUGAAGGACAUGGCUAUGAAGAUCCUUUCUUUGACCUCAAGUUCUUCCGGUUGUGAGAGAAAUUGGAGUUGUUUUGAGUUGAGGAGAAAUAGACUUACAACAGAUCGCCUCAAUCAGCUUGUGUACAUCCAGUUCAACUCAAGGCUGUUAUCCAAGAAAAGAAAGAUCAAGUAGAGGAAGAACAUCGAUGUUCUCCUCACUACUGAUGCAUCUGAAGCACAAGGCUUCUUGUUUGAGGGAGGAGAUGAUCAUGCUUUCAUGGUGUUUCCAGAUGGAGAUGAGGGAGCAGAUGGCAUACCUUGGAGUGUGGUUGGAGAUGCUAUGGGAACCAGUGAACAACUUGAGCUUCGUCGAAGUGCAAGGGUUAGAGAUCUCCAUGAUGAAGAGUUUGAUUCAGACGAAGAAGAAGUAGAGGAGACAGAUUCAGAGGAGGAAGACAUAGAGUACAAGGAUGAUGAAGAUGAAGUGGUGACUGGGCGCACUUAUGUGGAUGUGGACUAA
rnacentral:rRNA from 1 species